GUAUUGUUUAUGCUAUGUGUUUUUGCAGGAGGCCUGAGGUGGGCUGGGUUCUCCUCCUAUGGCAGGGCUUCACUCUCCUCCUCCUUCUCUGUUGGGGCUUCACUGUCCCUGGGAUAAGAAUAACAAUGCCAAGGUUUUCAUUCUUGAAAGGAGCAAUUAAGCGUCUCACCCCCUCCUCAUUUUAGAUGGGAACUGUGAGGGUCCCGUCAUUUACCCAGGGUCCCUGUUGAGGAUCUUGUCCUCAUUAGAUGACUUCUUGUGCAGCUUCCAUGCGUGAUUCUUUACUCUUGUGGCACUGAGAGGUUUGUACAUGUCUUUAAGCCAGAGCGGCUUUCUGAAUGAAAAAAGUCCAUCCUAGAAGAUAGAAAGGGAAAUAUUAAUUUUGCAUGUCCUCUGCUUUCCCUGGUCACAGCAAUGAAUCCUCCAAUGUACCUGACUCUCCCUUUGCGAAGAGCAUCUCCGUGGCAGAAAUCUGAAAAUGCCCCUGGGGAGACACAUGCACAAGACAGUUCGUGAGCCACACAUCUCCCCACACCAAGCUCCUCCAUACAAGACCUCGGACUGCAUCACGUAAAUGCUUUUUCAGGGGCAAAAUCUAGAGAAUCUGAAACGAGCUAUCAGCUUCCCAGUUUGCACAAUUCAUCAAGAAAUUAUGCGGGGUCACUGGCACAAAUGAUGAGGCAUCUCCUGGAAGCUUAACUUCUUAUCCAUCCCAUCUCUUGGACAGAUGAUGCCAGUUAAUUACUUUGAAUGGGUCUGUCACACGCAGCCCAACUCAACUGGAGUCCUGAGAAGGUGAACAGACCAGGAUGGAUGGCCAGGGAACUCACCAGAAGUCCCCAGGCAUCAGAACAAGGUCGAAGCAUCCUG
rnacentral:lncRNA from 1 species